rnacentral:rRNA from 1 species
CCUACGGGAGGCAGCAGUGGGGAAUAUUGCACAAUGGGGGAAACCCUGAAGCAGCGACGCCGCGUGAGGGAAGAAGGUUUUCGGAUUGUAAAGCUCUAUCAGCAGGGAAGAAAAUGACGGUAGCUGAUGAGGAAGCCCCGGCUAACUACGUGCCAGCAGCCGCGGUAAUACGUAGGGGGCAAGGGUUAUCCGGAUUUACUGGGUGUAAAGGGAGCGUAGACGGCAGUGCAAGUCUGAAGUGAAAUGCCUGGGCUUAACCCGGGAACUGCUUUGGAAACUGUCAGGCUGGAGUGCAGGAGAGGUAAGUGGAAUUCCUGGUGUAGCGGUGAAAUGCGUAGAUAUCGGGAGGAACACCAGUGGCGAAGGCGGCUUGCUGGACUGUAACUGACGUUGAAGCUCGAAAGCGUGGGUAGCAAACAGGAUUAGAUACCCGAGUAGUC